CCGGGAGGAAGUUCUGCUAUAAGCGCUCACGUCCUGUGAGCAACGCAGAACCUAGCGCAUCGUGCGCG
rfam:Aneurinibacillus migulanus strain DSM 2895 super7, whole genome shotgun sequence.